CAUAGGGGGUGUAAAAGGGGUGGGUGGGGAGUCAUGUGACGUGCCUCUGGGGGGCCCUUGAGGAAGUGGGGGCCCCCAGACAACGGUCUCCCCUUGUUUAAUGCUAGCGACGCCUCUGUAACUAACUAACUAAAUAUAAGGAUUGGAAUAAGACAGGAAGAACGACACCAGCAUAGCAACAGCCUGAAGGCAUCCAAAAUUAUACAGCUUGGUGGAAGCUGACUAGCAACAUAUGAGGGAGUGAUGUUACCUGCUGCAAGCCAAUAAGGGACCUGUGCAAAGCCCACAGAGGACGGCUGUGCUUUACAAACUCACCACUUCCUUUCCCCAACAACUUCAUGCUGUCCUUUGUUCUAAGAUCUUAGAGUGGUGAACAAGAAGUUAAAAACAAUCAUUAAACAGAAACCUCCUCAAAAUAAAACAGAAACAGCUGCAACCACUAGACGGAGAUCUCAGGGCUACUCAUUGGCCAAAAGUCAGGCAGUCUUCAAUCUCCUCUUAAGGACUGGGAGAGAGGGUGCCGUGCAAAUCUCAACUAAAAGAGUUCCAUAGACUGGAAGCAAUCGCUGAGAAGAUUCUGUCUUGUCCACGCAACAAACUAGCUUCAGCAGAUGUUGGCACACAUAACAGCCUUCCCAGCUGACCUAAUUAGGUUGGUUCUGUGACCAUAGGCCAACAUGGAAAAACUAUGGGGAGAGAUCAGCUCAAUCCCAUACCCACUGCUUUAUUAAAAACCUAAGUUGCACCUUCA